AGGCGAUCACCAGAGGAAGACUUGAGAAGAAGGAAGCAUUUGUGAAUGGAAGGAUGGACUUUGAGUUCAAUGACUACCCAGGACCUGGAGCAAACAACCAUCAUGAUCCUCGGACGCCUGGAAGGCCCUAAAUUCUAGUACCUCAACAGAUGAUCCUUCUGUGUACAUUAGGCUACAUCUACAUGUCGUGAUAAUCGCUUAAAGACUAUGGCGAAGUACGUAGUGAUCGCAGCCUAAAUAAUUCUACAUUUCAUGGUUUUAUGUAGCAUGUGAGACUAUUUUUAGUAUUAAUUAAUGUAUCGACUUGGAUUAGAGUAGACAAGCAUCCAUUGACUCUCUCUCUCUCUCUCUCUCUCUCUCUCUCGUCGUCGUCGUCGUCGCGACGNNNNNNNNNNNNNNNNNNNNGGUAGUUAGUAGUAGACAAGACAUCCACUUGUACUCUCUCUCUCUCUCUCUCUCUCUCUCUCUACGUGCUGCGUGCACGAGAAUGUUCGUGUAUGAUUAUAAAGCCAUGAAAACUGAUGAUCAUAUUUCACACCAUGCUCAGCUUCUACGAGAGCCUUUAUUCUUAGAGAAAAAUCUACAAAAG
rnacentral:lncRNA from 1 species